rnacentral:rRNA from 1 species
GCAAGUCGAGGGGUAACAGAUGAAGAGCUUGCUCAGAUUGCUGACGACCGGCGCACGGGUGAGUAACACGUAUGCAACCUACCUUUUACAGAGGGAUAGCCCAGAGAAAUUUGGAUUAAUACCUCAUAAUAUUUUUAACUCGCAUGAGUUUUAAAUUAAAACUUCGGUGGUAAAAGAUGGGCAUGCGUUCUAUUAGUUUGUUGGUGAGGUAAUGGCUCACCAAGGCGACGAUCAAUAGCCGACCUGAGAGGGUGAUC